rnacentral:rRNA from 1 species
ACACUCCUGCGGGAGGCAGCAGUGGGGAAUAUUGCACAAUGGGCGCAAGCCUGAUGCAGCCAUGCCGCGUGUAUGAAGAAGGCCUUCGGGUUGUAAAGUACUUUCAGCGGGGAGGAAGGCGAUAAGGUUAAUAACCUUGUCGAUUGACGUUACCCGCAGAAGAAGCACCGGCUAACUCCGUGCCAGCAGCCGCGGUAAUACGGAGGGUGCAAGCGUUAAUCGGAAUUACUGGGCGUAAAGCGCACGCAGGCGGUCUGUCAAGUCGGAUGUGAAAUCCCCGGGCUCAACCUGGGAACUGCAUUCGAAACUGGCAGGCUAGAGUCUUGUAGAGGGGGGUAGAAUUCCAGGUGUAGCGGUGAAAUGCGUAAAGAUCUGGAGGAAUACCGGUGGCGAAGGCGGCCCCCUGGACAAAGACUGAAGCUCAGGUGCGAAAGCGUGGGGAGCAAACAGGAUUAGAAACCCUGGUAGUCCCAUG